GAUGCGUGUGCGUGCUGCCAUUGAUUAACUUCAUCUGUUUUGCUGGCUAUUCUAUGUGCAUUUACAUGUAUAGGAUAGUCAUUUUGAUUCAGUUAAGAUAUGUUCAGAUUUCUGUUUAGAUUUCGGCACCUUUUAAAUGUGCUACCAUGGGGUAACCUGAGUCUAUUUUAAUGGCAACGGGACCUGCAAGUGCAUGGCCCACUGCUAAUAGUCCUAGAAGCGAUCGAAAUUGUUGCUAUUUUGACUUUGUCUGCUACAUGGACUGCUAUUCUGAUCUCUAUGUUUUCCCAUUGCUUCAUUCAGUAUGUCCACGUAAAACCAGAAAUUACAUGCAUUUGAAUGAUGAUAGCUUAGCACUCGAUGAUAAAUGUGAUGUUGUUUUAUGUUAAUGUGAAACCCGAUCUAUCGGUUGUUAGUUUGAAUCAGUACCCAAGCCAUCCUCCUCACUGCCCUCCUCUUAGUUAUUUAGGUAGUUCUUCCUUCUUGGGUAACAAUGAGAAAACGAUUAGGUUGGUUACACAGUAUACUUCAUGAUUGCGGUAGGCACAAAAUGCUUGGCAGACUAAAAUAACUAUGCCUCAUUUCUAUUAUCAAGCUCUAAGUGUAUAUUGAGAUGCCUUUGUACAAUGGAAGAUCCAUGGGGUUGUUUGUUUGCUUGUAGAUUUUCGUGCAGAUAUUUGAAUUGUGCAAAUUUUUAAUUUGAGUUAUAAUUUGUUGUCUCUCGAUGUCGCUAAUUUUGUAUGAGCUGGAGGUGACCAUUAUCAUGUUCUUUCUAUUUUUUAUAGACAAUGUUUUAUUUCUAAUAUUUAGUUUCAUUCCAAGAUUAAUGAUGCUUUCACUCUGUUUUCAAAUUGACAAUUUCCGCCGACCGUUGUUGCACUCAAUGAUGGUUGAUGCCAACGUCGUCCAUUAGCAUUUAUUAUGUUGAAAAUUGCUUCACUCGGUCAUCUCUGCUUUUGACGCCACAAAAACAUGUGACAACUAAUUUAUGCUUGAUUAUUUGCUCAUUUUUAUUCCUUAUACAUUUAGCUCUUGUCCUUGAUUAGUUCAUUUGCAAGGAGAGUGUUUGUGUUCAACAUAAUAUUCCAUUUCCAGGUUUGCACUAAAACUAACUGCAAUAGAAGAAAGUGCAUGAAGAAUGAACAAGGAAAAGCUACAGAUUGAUAUGUAUAGGUUACAAAUUUUUCUACCUCCACCCCAUAUUCCCACUUAUGGUUCAGUGAAGAGUAUGAUUUCUCGCUUGGGAGGAUGCCAUACACAAGAUAUGCAUUUGUUUCCGAUGCCUUUUCAUUACAGUUGCUUUUGUUUAAAUUAUAAAGAGUUAAAUACAUCAUGAGUGCCUAAACUUGUUCGUUGCGCUCAGUUUAGUGCCUAAACUUGUAAAAUACAAAAAAAAUGGUGCUAUAACUUGUCGCACGGUGCAUAUACGGUGCCUCCACCCGUAUGCCAUCGUAUUUGCUCUCUGUGUGGCGUGACAACUGGCAGCUGGCCCACAGAUCAGUGGGUGAGCGUUGUCUGCGCUGGGUGAAAUGCAUACGAGUUGUUUUUGCAGAAAUUUACGUGAGAUUUAAUUAAAGUCACAAAUAAGCCAUUGUUCUAUAUGCUAAUAACAGGAAAAAAAUUACUGUGUCAUUGAAUUGGUUUUGACCUUGGGACCUCCAGGUUAAAUAGCACGCACGCUAGACGCCAAGACUAAUAUUACUUAUACAAUCUACUAUCGCUCUGCAAUUUCCAUUAUAUUGUUUUCAAGUUACCGUUUGGUUUUUACAAUAUAUGUAAAAUUUCCAAUAUACAAAUACGCAACAAUUGUCUAUUAAAAUCUUUAUUCUAUUUUUAUUAUUUGUAGUUUGAAGAGGUAAACCCGAACUGUUUGUAAAAUUUAUAUGGAUUUAAAAAGUUCAACAUAUAUUAUAAAAUAUUGCCUAACUUUUUUGUAUCUUCAUCCAGAACUAUUUUGUAUCUUCAUUGUAUUUUUAAAAUACAUAAUUAUUUAAAAAUCAACAAAGUUGUAUUUUGAAAAUUGUUCAAUAUGUAUUAAAAAUGAUUGUGUAAAAAGAAUAAAUUCAAUAAAUGGGUUAAAACAUGUUAAACGUGUUUGUAGAAAUGUAAGAAUAAUUUUACACAAUAAUUAUUUUAAUACAUAUAGAACAUUUUAUGAAAUUGAUGUUGUAAUUUUUUUUGAAUGCGUGACGGUCAUUUUUCAAAUACACGUUUACAAUGUCUUAAUAGAAGUGAGAAUUUUCCAAAAAUAUGUUGACUUUUUGGAAAAAUACACGUUGAAAAUGCACUGUUCUUGGCCUAUUGGUUAGCACAUGUGCACAUUGUGCGCGAGGUAAUGAAGUCGAAUGCUGCCGGUGUGUGCUCUUUUUUCUUGUUAUUACACUCUAUUUUAUCCCACAUGCUGACAUGCAGGGCGUAGAUCUGACAGAUGAGGUAAAUGCAGUUUGGCAUAUUUAAAUAAAAAAUAUCAGGAGGUUUUGUGAAAAUUAUUUAAAGUACAAGGAAUUUUCUGUAAAACAACUAGCACACACCUCUCACAGGAAUUGACAUGUGGGUCGACGCCAUGUUGACACACCAUGUGGGCUUUGCAUAUGCCUAAAUACGGACAGAGGCACUGUAUUUGAACGUUCAAACAAGUUACGACACCAGUUUCAUGUAUUUUACAAGUUUAGGCAUCAAAGUGAUCGCAUCGGACAAGUUGAGGCACCCGUGAUGUAUUUAGCUCAAUUAUAAAAGCAGCCUUCUAGAGCAGAUCAUUUUUUAUGGAUAUAUGACGACAGGUUUGCGAUUGCAUUGUCAAAAGCAAACCUAGGGUGUUUGAUGUUUCCAUGUAGUUUUAAAACAACCUCCUAGCACUGUUCAUUAUAUAUAUACAUUGAUGCGCUUCUCCAUAUUUGAGGCAUCGUUUGGGUUUUAUCUACUUGUCCAUGAAGGAUGCUUCAUGAGGAAAAUUCCUCAUAUAAUAUUUUUUGAGAGGAAGAGUUUAGGGAGUACUAUAAUUCUGAAGAUAUGCCAGAGAAUUGAAUAUGAACUCACAUAAAGAAUCGAGAUUACAAACGUAGAGGCUUCACUAGAAGAGAGGCCCUUUCUGUAGAUCACAAGAGACAUGUUUUUUGUAGGUACAAGAACCAUAUUUCUAUUUACGAUUAUCUCCUAGCAAUGAAAGUCGUAUGUGACAAACAUGAAUAAGCUAGGGGAAAGGUCAACUGCUCUCUUCCUUUUUGUUUUGAGUGUUAACUUCUGUUUUCAAUUUCCAACUUUGUGCAACUAUUUUCUAUAUAUGUAUAGGUGCUUGCUAUGUUAGAGAUAAAAAAGGAUCUUGGUUACAGCAAGCCACGUGGGGGUUACAGCAAGCCACGUGAGCACAUGGCAUGGAGAAAUGCCAGUGUUCUUGAAAUCCCUUGUUGCAUUUGUUCUUUGUCCUUCUGGGAUGUUACUAAGACAUCCUUUACUAAGACAUCAUUUUCUUAGGUAUUGAGUAGGAUUUUAGCUGCACAACUUGUUGAAAAAAAUCAAUGCUUAAGUUGACGAUAAGGUGAUGUUUGGCCUUGGCCUUUUGUUCUAAUCAUUUGUUGUUAUUAUCACAUAUCAUUUCAUCAUUUUUUUUGGCUUCAUUCUUUCCUUCCUGCUUGCGGCAGGUAGAAGACUCGGGUAAUGGGCAGGUAGAAGACUCGGGCAACGGUUAAUUGACAAGCACUAUAUACACAAUGCAUCUCUGCUAAUAUAGCUUACUUUAUAAAGCCAUCAAUGUAUGCUAUUAUCAAGUGAUUUGAAUAUUUUAUUUUAAGCUAUCAUAUAAUGGAAUAUAAGUAUCCAUUAACUUGGUUCUAAACCAGUCUAAUAUGCAUGGUUUGAAUGCUCGGCUUGCUCUCCUUUUUGCGUGAUAUGAAUAUUUUCUUUUAAGCUAUAAUGUAAUGGAAUGUAAGCAUUUAUUAAGUUGGUUUAAAUCAAUCUCAUAUGCAUGAUUUUAAUACUCGGCUGGCUCUUUCCUUUUGCGCUAUGGGCGCAAC
rnacentral:lncRNA from 1 species